GUAGUCCACGCCGUAAACGAUGAUUACUAGGUGUGGGGGGACUGACCCCUUCCGUGCCGCAGUUAACACAAUAAGUAAUCCACCUGGGGAGUACGACCGCAAGGUUGAAACUCAAAGGAAUUGACGGGGGCCCGCACAAGCAGUGGAGUAUGUGGUUUAAUUCGAAGCAACGCGAAGAACCUUACCAGGUCUUGACAUCGUGAGCAUAGCUUAGAGAUAAGUGAAAUCCCUUCGGGGACUCAUAGACAGGUGGUGCAUGGUUGUCGUCAGCUCGUGUCGUGAGAUGUUGGGUUAAGUCCCGCAACGAGCGCAACCCUUACUGUUAGUUGCUACGCAAGAGCACUCUAGCAGGACUGCCGUUGACAAAACGGAGGAAGGUGGGGAUGACGUCAAAUCAUCAUGCCCCUUAUGACCUGGGCUACACACGUACUACAAUGGCUGUAAACAGAGGGAAGCAAAGCAGUGAUGCAGAGCAAAACCCUAAAAGCAGUCUUAGUUCGGAUUGUAGGCUGCAACCCGCCUACAUGAAGUCGGAAUUGCUAGUAAUCGCGGAUCAGCAUGCCGCGGUGAAUACGUUCCCGGGCCUUGUACACACCGCCCGUCACGCCAUGGGAGUCGGUAACACCCGAAGCCUGUGUUCUAACCGCAAGGAGGAAGCAGUCGAAGGUGGGAUUGAUGACUGGGGUGA
rnacentral:rRNA from 1 species